rnacentral:rRNA from 1 species
UACAGAGGUCCCAAGCGUUGUUCGGAUUCACUGGGCGUAAAGGGUGCGCAGGUGGGCUGACAAGUUUGAUGUGAAAGCCCCGGGCUUAACCCGGGAAUGGCAUUGAAUGCUGUCGGUCUGGAGGAUUGGAGGGGGGACUGGAAUUCUUGGUGUAGCAGUGAAAUGCGUAGAUAUCAAGAGGAACACCAGUGGCGAAGGCGAGUCCCUGGACAAUUCCUGACACUGAGGCACGAAAGCCAAGGGAGCAAACAGG